UACGUAGGGGGCUAGCGUUGUCCGGAAUCAUUGGGCGUAAAGCGCGUGUAGGCGGUCCGGUAAGUCCGCUGUGAAAGUCGAGGGCUCAACCCUCGAAUGCCGGUGGAUACUGUCGGGCUUGAGUACGGGAGAGGCGAGUGGAAUUCCUGGUGUAGCGGUGAAAUGCGCAGAUAUCAGGAGGAACACCGAUUGCGAAGGCAGCUCGCUGGAACGUUACUGACGCUGAGACGCGAAAGCGUGGGGAGCAACAGG
rnacentral:rRNA from 1 species